UACGUAGGGUGCAAGCGUUAAUCGGAAUUACUGGGCGUAAAGCGUGCGCAGGCGGUUAUGUAAGACAGAUGUGAAAUGCCCGGGCUUAACCUGGGAACUGCAUUUGUGACUGCAUGGCUAGAGUUUGGCAGAGGGGGGUAGAAUUCCACGUGUAGCAGUGAAAUGCGUAGAUAUGUGGAGGAACACCGAUGGCGAAGGCAGCCCCCUGGGUCGAGACUGACGCUAAUACGCGAAAGCGUGGGGAGCAAACAGG
rnacentral:rRNA from 1 species